rnacentral:rRNA from 1 species
GAUGAACGCUGGCGGCGUGCCUAAUACAUGCAAGUCGAGCGAACAGACGAGGAGCUUGCUCCUUUGACGUUAGCGGCGGACGGGUGAGUAACACGUGGGUAACCUACCUAUAAGACUGGGAUAACUUCGGGAAACCGGAGCUAAUACCGGAUAAUAUUUCGAACCGCAUGGUUCGAUAGUGAAAGAUGGCUUUGCUAUCACUUAUAGAUGGACCUGCGCCGUAUUAGCUAGUUGGUAAGGUAACGGCUUACCAAGGCAACGAUACGUAGCCGACCUGAGAGGGUGAUCGGCCACACUGGAACUGAGACACGGUCCAGACUCCUACGGGAGGCAGCAGUGGGGAAUCUUCCGCAAUGGGCGAAAGCCUGACGGAGCAACGCCGCGUGAGUGAUGAAGGUCUUCGGAUCGUAAAACUCUGUUAUUAGGGAAGAACAAACGUGUAAGUAACUGUGCACGUCUUGACGGUACCUAAUCAGAAAGCCACGGCUAACUACGU